CCUACGGGGGGCUGCAGUGGGGAAUAUUGGACAAUGGACGAAAGCCUGAUCCAGCCAUUCCGCGUGUGUGAAGAAGGCCUUCGGGUUGUAAAGCACUUUCAGUGGGGAAGAAAUCCUUGGGGCUAAUACCCUCGGGGAAGGACAUCACCCACAGAAGAAGCACCGGCUAACUCCGUGCCAGCAGCCGCGGUAAUACGGAGGGUGCGAGCGUUAAUCGGAAUUACUGGGCGUAAAGCGCGCGUAGGCGGUCUGAUAAGCCGGUUGUGAAAGCCCCGGGCUCAACCUGGGAACGGCAUCCGGAACUGUCAGGCUAGAGUGCAGGAGAGGAAGGUAGAAUUCCCGGUGUAGCGGUGAAAUGCGUAGAGAGCGGGAGGAAUACCAGUGGCGAAGGCGGCCUUCUGGACUGACACUGACGCUGAGGUGCGAAAGCGUGGGUAGCAAACAGGAUUAGAUACCCGGGUAGUC
rnacentral:rRNA from 1 species